GUGUCCGUUGUCGUGACUUGCCGGAGAGUUCGGAUCGGAUGGCUGAAGCUCGGUUGGGACGUCUGGUGGAGUGGAAUAGCUCUCUGUCUCAGCAAUCUAAGAGAAGCUUGGAUGUUUUCGAGGCUGCUGAUGGGUUAACUAUUAUCGGGUGCCUUAGGCGUUGAUGCUGCAAACAAAAGUCAUCUGCUGUAGAAGCCCGGAUGAAAACUUUCUGUUGGAGAAAUCCAGCUAGAGUCCAAUUGCUAGAGAAGUCCAUCUGAAAUUUGUCUGAUAUAGAAGCUUGUCUGAAGACUGUCCGCUGGAGAAGUUCGGUUACAUGAGGAAUCCGACAGAAGGUCGACCGAUAGCAAAAUUUGAAAAGUACUAUAGAAGGUUGAUCGAUAGAAGAG
rnacentral:lncRNA from 1 species